rnacentral:rRNA from 1 species
GACGAACGCUGGCGGCGUGCUUAACACAUGCAAGUCGAGCGAGGCCCCUCCUUCGGGAGGGUGUCCUAGCGGCGAACGGGUGAGUAACACGUGGGCAACCUGCCCUCAGCUCUGGGAUAACUCCGGGAAACCGGGGCUAAUACCGGAUACGACCUCCACGGGCAUCUGAGGAGGGGGAAAGUUAUUCGGCUGAGGAUGGGCCCGCGGCCUAUCAGCUAGUUGGUGGGGUAGUGGCCCACCAAGGCGACGACGGGUAGCCGGCCUGAGAGGGCGACCGGCCACACUGGGACUGAGAAACGGCCCAGACUCCUACGGGAGGCAGCAGUGGGGAAUAUUGCGCAAUGGGCGAAAGCCUGACGCAGCGACGCCGCGUGAGGGACGAAGGCCUUCGGGUUGUAAACCUCUUUCAGCAGGGACGAAGCGAAAGUGACGGUACCUGCAGAAGAAGCACCGGCCAACUACGUG